rnacentral:lncRNA from 1 species
CCUUUACUACUUAGAAUGAGCCUAGAAUCAAGCAAAACUCAAUAAAUGAGUCUGGAGAGAGUCAAAAGCUGUUUUUAGCGAUUUUAUGCUUGUUUUGCAUUGUUUUGUAGCAAUUUUGAGAAAGUGAAGAAUGGAGUUAAAGAUACAGGUCGUAGACUCAAGAAAAGAGCAGGAAAAUGAAGAUUUGAAGAGUCGACGCACCUUACAGGGCGAGGAGUAGGCACCGGCGUUGGCGCUGGGCGGUUUUGAGGGAAACCGCCCAGCGGCACCUUACACCGCCGGGCGGUUUUGAGGCUUUUGGGAAACCGUCGGGCGCAACACCUAAACCGUCGGGCGGUGGUCUGCUGGGCUUGGACCUGUUUUCUGUGUUUUUUAUGAUCUGUUUGGGCUUGGG